GGGCAUGUGGUGUAAUGGUAGCAAACCGGGAUCUUAUUACGUGGCAACCGGGAUGCCGGUUCGAAUCCGGCCGUGUCCA